GUGGUGACACUAAAUAGAUUGUCGUAGAUCAUGACCUAUGUUAGCCAUCGAUUUGUAUGGUUUACCAUAGACUUACACCUUUAUUAGUGAAUCAACUGAUAUCCUGAUUAUGCGUAGACUACCGUGAUCUAUGUACACAUCUAUAGACCAUCAGGUGGAGGUAGUUAAAAAAUAAAUAAUUAAAUAAAAAAAAUUAAAAAGAUAACAGUAACAUGUUUUGGGG
rnacentral:lncRNA from 1 species